GACGAACGCUGGCGGCGUGCUUAACACAUGCAAGUCGAACGGUAAGGCCCCAGCUUGCUGGGGUACACGAGUGGCGAGCGGGUGAGUAACACGUGGGUGACCUGCCCCGCACUUCGGGAUAAGCCUGGGAAACUGGGUCUAAUACCGGAUAGGACCGCACCGUGAGGGUGUGGUGGAAAGUUUUUCGGUGUGGGAUGGGCCCGCGGCCUAUCAGCUUGUUGGUGGGGUAAUGGCCUGCCAAGGCGGCGACGGGUAGCCGGCCUGAGAGGGUGGACGGCCACAUUGGGACUGAGACACGGCCCAGACUCCUACGGGAGGCAGCAGUGGGGAAUAUUGCACAAUGGGCGGAAGCCUGAUGCAGCGACGCCGCGUGGGGGAUGACGGCCUUCGGGUUGUAAACUCCUUUCACCAUCGACGAAGGUUUUCUGACGGUAGAUGGAGAAGAAGCACCGGCUAACUACGUG
rnacentral:rRNA from 1 species